rnacentral:rRNA from 1 species
UACGAGGGGGGCAAGCGUUGUUCGGAAUUAUUGGGCGUAAAGGGCGCGUAGGCGGUGCGGUAAGUCACCUGUGAAAACUCUGGGCUCAACUCAGAGCCUGCAGGCGAAACUGCCGUGCUUGAGUGUGGGAGAGGUGCGUGGAAUUCCCGGUGUAGCGGUGAAAUGCGUAGAUAGCGGGAGGAACACCAGUGGCGAAGGCGACUUCCUGGCCUGUUCUUGACGCUGAGGCGCGAAAGCUAGGGGAGCAAACGGG